AGAAAGAAAAACAUCAUGUAGGCCAGCACAAGUGUUCCCAACGCAUAUGUGAAGUAAAGGAAACCUUUUCCAAUUUAAAGACCAACUGGAAGAAAUUUGCACAAAAUGCCCCCGAUCAAUGUAAAUAGGGGAUUCUAGUUAGAAGGAAAAGGAAAUGCAUUCCAUUUCUGGACUUUGGAUACAUUUUCUUUCUAGUUUUGGAUACUGCUUGAAUUUGACAUUUUAAGAAAGCAGCGAGAGGACAGGUAGUCGCAGGAAUAGAAAACUGGAGUGGAUCAAAUCAAAAGUACAAUGGCUGAAUCUCAAACACAACAGCUGCUUGAAGAAGAAUGGUAACCUUUUUCCCUAUUUCACGUAAGGCUGAGCAUAUCUAAAAAAAAACAUCUGAAACUUAAGCAUUUUGCCUACCAAAAGCCAACUCUUCAAUUGUGUUUGUUAGCAGACAAUACUGUAUUGUUUAUAUAUUCUGUCUUUUGAAUUUUCACUUAC